UACGAAGGGGGCUAGCGUUGCUCGGAAUCACUGGGCGUAAAGCGCACGUAGGCGGCUUUUUAAGUCAGAGGUGAAAUCCUGGAGCUCAACUCCAGAACUGCCUUUGAUACUGGAGAGCUUGAGUCCGGGAGAGGUGAGUGGAACUGCGAGUGUAGAGGUGAAAUUCGUAGAUAUUCGCAAGAACACCAGUGGCGAAGGCGGCUCACUGGCCCGGUACUGACGCUGAGACGCGAAAGCGUGGGGAGCAAACAGG
rnacentral:rRNA from 1 species